rnacentral:sRNA from 1 species
CAAUAGAUGGCGCUGUACUUUUCGAGCG